CAGAUCAGCAUGCUGCGGUGAAUACGUUCCCGGGUCUUGUACACACCGCCCGUCACACCAUGGGAGUCGGAAAUGCCCGAAGUCAGUGGCCCAACCGCAAGGAGGGAGCUGCCGAAGGCAGGUCCGGUGACUGGGGUGAAGUCGUAACAAGGUAUC
rnacentral:rRNA from 1 species